rnacentral:miRNA from 1 species
UUCGAGAACAUCGGCAGCUGACGC